rnacentral:rRNA from 1 species
UACGUAGGGGGCAAGCGUUGUCCGGAAUUAUUGGGCGUAAAGCGCGCGCAGGCGGCUCUUUAAGUCUGGUGUUUAAUCCCGAGGCUCAACUUCGGGUCGCACUGGAAACUGGGGAGCUUGAGUGCAGAAGAGGAGAGUGGAAUUCCACGUGUAGCGGUGAAAUGCGUAGAUAUGUGGAGGAACACCAGUGGCGAAGGCGAGUCUCUGGGAUGAUGCUGACGCUGAUGCGCGAAAGCCAGGGGAGCAAACGGG